rnacentral:lncRNA from 1 species
UCCCAAAGUUGCUUAUGAAUUGAAAAUUUGUAACUCAAAUGGUAAAAUAAAUAUACUAGAUAACUCAGUAUUUCUUAAAAAUGGAAAAAUGUUCUGUAAAGCAAUGAAUCUUUUUUAAAAGCAAAAAGACUAUUUCUUUUAAAUUGUCCUAGUUGAGCUAUUAUAAUGAGUUCUUGUUUUUUUUACAAUUAACUGUUUUAAAUGUUUGGACACUGACAGGUUUCCAGAUACCAGUAUUAUAAGGAUUGGGGAAGUUGUAAAUCAAUGGUAAUGAACAUGUGGCCUUCGGACCAGCUACAUCCCAAUCACCUGGGAACUUGUUAGAUGCAUAUUCUCAGAUUCAUCACAGACCUACUAAAUCAAGAACUCUGGGGGUGAAGGUCUGGUUUAACAAGACCUCCAAGCAAGUCUCAUCCAUGUUCAAAAACCACACACUGGCCAGGCAUGGUGGCACAUGCCUGAAAUCCCAGCUCAGGAGGCUGAGGCAGGAGGACCACAGGUUAAAAGCCAGGCUCAUCAGUUUAGCAAAGCCCUAAGCAACUUAGUGAGACCCUGUAUCAAAACAAAAAAUAAAAGGGUUGGGGUUAAGUUCUCCUGGGUUCAAUCUCUAUUACUACCACCCCGCCCCCCAGAAAAAAAGAACCCUCUACACUGCACUAAUGAAAUAUUGGGGGAUGGGAACUAGAGAAGGUUAGCCAUCUCCUGUCCCAUCUUUUCACCCUUAGAAUUCUUUGUCCCCUCGAAGGUGGCCCAUCCAUUAUAUCCAGAGUAUUCCUAUGCCCGUUAGCUGCUCUCCCUUCAGUUUGUAGAAGAGCAGCUUAUCUGUGAGGAUGGUGGUUCUCCUUCCUUCCCUUUCUGUCUAGUUCCCCUGUCAUGUGAAAGCAUCAAAUCAAGUAAUAAUAACCCAGACUCCCUUCACGUUUUCAUGAAUAUUUGAUACCUUGAUCCAACUCAAAACGUUCUACCAUUUUUCAGCUUUUCACUCACUAAUUUUCUAUUUCUAAUUCCGUGAAAGUAAAGAACACUGGAGUUUGGCAGAGGAAAGAAUAACUGAGAACACAGCAGGAGAGUUGUUUUGUUCUCCAGUCAGGGCUGUUGGCAAGAAGGUAGCCUCUGGGACUCCUUGGCCCCAGAAAGCAGCAAGACCAUUUGGAC